rnacentral:rRNA from 1 species
GAAACGACUGCUAAGACUGGAUAGGAGACAAGAGGGCAUCUUCUUGGUCUAAGGAAAAGACCCAGCAAUAGGUAUGCUUAGGGAGGGGCUUGCGUCACAUUAGUUAGUUGGUGGGGUAAAGGCCUACCAAGACUAUGAUGUGUAGCCGGGCUGAGAGGUUGAACGGCCACAUUGGGACUGAGACACGGCCCAAACUCCUACGGGAGGCAGCAGUAGGGAAUUUUCGGCAAUGGAGGAAACUCUGACCGAGCAACGCCGCGUGAACGAUGAAGUAUUUCGGUACGUAAAGUUCUUUUAUUAGGGAAGAAUAAAUGAUGGAAAAAUCAUUCUGACGGUACCUAAUGAAUAAGCCCCGGCUAACUAUGUGCCAGCAGCCGCGGUAAUACAUAGGGGGCAAGCGUUAUCCGGAAUUAUUGGGCGUAAAGGGUGCGUAGGCGGUAAGUUUAUGGUCUAAGUGCAAUGCUCAACAUUGUGAUGCUAUAAAAACUUUAGCUAGAGUAAGAUAGAGGCAAGUGGAAUUCCAUGUGUAGUGGUAAAAUGCGUAAAUAUAUGGAGGAACACCAGUAGCGAAGGCGGCUUACUGGGUCUUUACUGACGCUGAGGCACGAAAGCGUGGGGAGCAAACAUUAGAUACCCUGGUAGUCCACGCCGUAAACGAUGAGUACUAAACGUUGGGUAAAACCAGUGUUGAAGUUAACACAUUAAGUACUCCGCCUGAGUAGUACGUACGCAAGUAUGAAACUUAAAGGAAUUGACGGGACUCCGCACAAGCGGUGGAUCAUGUUGUUUAAUUCGAAGGUACCCGAAAAACCUCACCAGGUCUUGACAUGCUUCUGCAAAGCUGUAGAAACACAGUGGAGGUUAUCAGUUGCACAGGUGGUGCAUGGUUGUCGUCAGCUCGUGUCGUGAGAUGUUGGGUUAAGUCCCGCAACGAGCGCAACCCUUAUUGUUAGUUACCAGCACGUAAUGGUCUAAGGGACUUUAGCAAGACUGCCAGUGAUAAAUUGGAGGAAGGUGGGGACGACGUCAAAUCAUCAUGCCCCUUAACAAACGUGAUACAAUGGCUGUUACAAAGGGUAGCUGAAGCGCAAGUUUUUGGCGAAUCUCAAAAAAACAUUCGGAUUGAAGUCUGCAACUCGACUUCAUGAAGUUGGAAUCGCUAGUAAUCGCGAAUCAGCAUGUCGCGGUGAAUACGUUCGCGGGGUUUGUACACACCGCCUGUCAAGUCUGCAACUC